rnacentral:rRNA from 1 species
GAUGAACGCUGGCGGCGUGCUUAACACAUGCAAGUCGAGCGAAGCACUUUGGAAAGAUUCUUCGGAUGAUUUCCUUUGUGACUGAGCGGCGGACGGGUGAGUAACGCGUGGGUAACCUGCCUCAUACAGGGGAAUAACAGUUAGAAAUGACUGCUAAUACCGCAUAAGACCACGGUACCGCAUGGUACAGUGGUAAAAACUCCGGUGGUAUGAGAUGGACCCGCGUCUGAUUAGGUAGUUGGUGGGGUAACGGCCUACCAAGCCGACGAUCAGUAGCCGACCUGAGAGGGUGACCGGCCACAUUGGGACUGAGACACGGCCCAGACUCCUACGGGAGGCAGCAGUGGGGAAUAUUGCACAAUGGAGGAAACUCUGAUGCAGCGACGCCGCGUGAAGGAUGAAGUAUUUCGGUAUGUAAACUUUUAUCAGCAGGGAAGAAAAUGACGGUACCUGACUAAGAAGC